AAAACAAAGCAAAAACAAAAAAAAACAAAAUAUGUAUAUAUAUAUAUGCAUAUAUGCAUACAUCUUCCACUUU
rnacentral:ribozyme from 15 species